rnacentral:rRNA from 1 species
UACGUAGGUGGCAAGCGUUGUCCGGAAUUAUUGGGCGUAAAGCGCGCGCAGGCGGUUCUUUAAGUCUGAUGUGAAAGCCCACGGCUUAACCGUGGAGGGUCAUUGGAAACUGGGGGACUUGAGUGCAGAAGAGGAAAGCGGAAUUCCACGUGUAGCGGUGAAAUGCGUAGAGAUGUGGAGGAACACCAGUGGCGAAGGCGGCUGUCUGGUCUGUAACUGACGCUGAGGCGCGAAAGCGUGGGGAGCAAACAGG